CUCCUACGGGAGGCAGCAGUGGGGAAUAUUGCACAAUGGGCGCAACUGCAUUGCAGCGACGCCGCGUGAUGGAUGGAGGCCUUCGGGUUGUAAACCUCUUUUAUUGGGGAGCAAGCGAGAGUGAGUUUACCCGUUGAAUAAGCACCGGCUAACUACGUGCCAGCAGCCGCGGUAAUACGUAGGGUGCAAGCGUUAUCCGGAAUUAUUGGGCGUAAAGGGCUCGUAGGCGGUUCGUCGCGUCCGGUGUGAAAGUCCAUCGCUUAACGGUGGAUCCGCGCCGGGUACGGGCGGGCUUGAGUGCGGUAGGGGAGACUGGAAUUCCCGGUGUAACGGUGGAAUGUGUAGAUAUCGGGAAGAACACCAAUGGCGAAGGCAGGUCUCUGGGCCGUUACUGACGCUGAGGAGCGAAAGCGUGGGGAGCGAACAGGAUUAGAUACCCUGGUAGUCCACGCCGUAAACGGUGGAUGCUGGAUGUGGGGCCCGUUCCACGGGUUCCGUGUCGGAGCUAACGCGUUAAGCAUCCCGCCUGGGGAGUACGGCCGCAAGGCUAAAACUCAAAGAAAUUGACGGGGGCCCGCACAAGCGGCGGAGCAUGCGGAUUAAUUCGAUGCAACGCGAAGAACCUUACCUGGGCUUGACAUGUUCCCGACGGUCGUAGAGAUACGGCUUCCCUUCGGGGCGGGUUCGCAGGUGGUGCAUGGUCGUCGUCAGCUCGUGUCGUGAGAUGUUGGGUUAGGUCCCGCAACGAGCGCAACCCUCGCCCCGUGUUGCCAGCGGAUUAUGCCGGGAACUCACGGGGGACCGCCGGGGUUAACUCGGAGGAAGGUGGGGAUGACGUCAGAUCAUCAUGCCCCUUACGUCCAGGGCUUCACGCAUGCUACAAUGGCCGGUACAACGGGAUGCGACGCGGCGACGCGGAGCGGAUCCCUGAAAACCGGUCUCAGUUCGGAUCGCAGUCUGCAACUCGACUGCGUGAAGGCGGAGUCGCUAGUAAUCGCGAAUCAGCAACGUCGCGGUGAAUGCGUUCCCGGGCCUUGUACACACCGC
rnacentral:rRNA from 1 species